CGUUAUUUUAGUGUCGAAGUCGCUAUUGUGGCCAUCUUGGGCGAAAGUUGUGGACCAUUCCCAGGUAAAAGUGUCGUAACUCGUCGUAUUUUCUUUUUUUUACUUUUUUUGCCAUUAUUUUUUCCAAAAGUCUUCAAAUUGCUCCUCAUAACAACUUAAUACUCAUAGUUUACUCACAGCAAUAAAAACAAUAUUGAAGUGCUGUAAUUUGUUACCUGAUUUAUCGUUGACAUCAUGGUAUAGUGGUAAACACCGUGGCCAUAAUGAGCGAAAGUUGUAGAGCAUUCCCAGCUGAAAGUCACCUAACUUUUCGUAUAAUUUUUUCUUUAUUUUUUUUGCCAUUGUUUUUUCCCCCAAAGUCGCCAAAUCGCUCCUCAUCACAGCUUAAUACUCAUAUUUUGA
rnacentral:lncRNA from 1 species